rnacentral:rRNA from 1 species
UAUGAAGUUGGAAUCGCUAGUAAUCGCGGAUCAGCAUGCCGCGGUGAAUACGUUCCCGGGCCUUGUACACACCGCCCGUCACACCAUGAGAGUCGGGAACACCCGAAGUCAGUAGUCCAACCACGUGAGGACGCUGCCGAAGGUAGGAUUGGCGACUGGGGUGAAGUCGUAACAAGGUAAC